AAUGAACGCUGGCGGCGUGCGUAACACAUGCAAGUCGAACGAGAAAUUCCGGGCUUGCUCGGGAGAGUAAAGUGGCGAACGGGUGAGUAACGCGUGGGUAACCUGCCCCUGAAUCUGGAAUAACUUCGCGAAAGCGAGGCUAAUACCGGAUAUUGUCCCAGGGACUAUGGUCCUUGUGAUGAAAGAUGACCUCUUCACGAAAGUUGUCGUUCAGGGAGGGGCCCGCGUACCAUUAGCUAGUUGGUAGGGUAAUGGCCUACCAAGGCAAUGAUGGUUAGCUGGUCUGAGAGGAUGACCAGCCACACUGGCACUGAAACACGGGCCAGACUCCUACGGGAGGCAGCAGUGAGGAAUUUUGCGCAAUAGGGGAAACCCUGACGCAGCAACGCCGCGUGAGCGAAGAAGGCCCUCGGGUCGUAAAGCUCUGUCAAGUGGGAAAAAAGCUUGUUGGUAAAUAGCCUGCAAGACUGAUGGUACCAUUGAAGGAAGCACCGGCUAACUCCGUGCCAGCAGCCGCGGUAAUACGGAGGGUGCAAGCGUUGUUCGGAAUUACUGGGCGUAAAGGGCGUGUAGGCGGUGUGGUAAGUCAGAUGUGAAAGCCCUGGGCUUAACCCAGGAAGUGCAUUUGAAACUGCCAUGCUUGAGUAUGGGAGAGGAGAGUGGAAUUCCCAGUGUAGAGGUGAAAUUCGUAGAUAUUGGGAGGAACACCCGUGGCGAAGGCGACUCUCUGGACCAAUACUGACGCUGAGGCGCGAA
rnacentral:rRNA from 1 species